rnacentral:rRNA from 1 species
UACGUAGGUGGCAAGCGUUGUCCGGAUUUACUGGGCGUAAAGGGCGUGCAGGCGGUCUGUUAAGUCUAGGGUGAAAGCUCCCGGCUCAACUGGGAGAGGUCCUUGGAUACUGGCGGACUUGAGGGAGGCAGAGGAAAGUGGAAUUCCCGGUGUAGUGGUGAUAUGCGUAGAUAUCGGGAGGAACACCUGAGGCGAAGGCGGGUUACUGGGCUGAUACUGACGCUGAUGCGCGAAAGCCAGGGGAGCAAACGGG